rnacentral:rRNA from 1 species
GACGUAGGUGGCAAGCGUUAUUCGGAAUUACUGGGCGUAAAGGGUCCGCAGGGGGUUUGGCAAGUUCGAUGUGAAAGGCCAGGGCUCAACCCUGGGACGGCAUUGGAUACUGCCAGACUAGAGGAUCGGAGAGGAGAGUGGAAUUCCUGGUGUAGCGGUGGAAUGCGUAGAUAUCAGGAGGAACACCGAAGGCGAAGGCAGCUCUCUGGACGAUACCUGACCCUCAUGGACGAAAGCCGGGGGAGCAAACAGG